rnacentral:tRNA from 1 species
GCGAGAGUGGCGGAAUUGGCAGACGCGCUGGACUUAGAAUCCAGUGAGUUUGAAAGCUCGUGAGGGUUCAAGUCCCUCCUCUCGCACCA